UGUGUACCAUCACACUGGAAAUGGUACAGCACUGGUUGAAUUCAAGGAGACAGGUCUGAGGUGUUUCAGCUGGAGCAUAGUCACUGUUUUCCUUUUCUGACAGGAGAGUAUCAGGAUGGAACAAAACCUGAAGAAGAAACUUUUGGACACCUUCUAACACACAAAGAACUUAAGCUGCCAUCAACCACUAGGUGAUGCUGUUUCAAUACAAUAAGGACAGAAAGAGUUUUAAGCCUCAGUGAGGAGCACAAGCCCACCCUAGACAAGGAGUGUCAGAAGAUACAGAAGUGACCUGAACUGGUACUUGCUGUUGAAGAACUCAUGACUCAUCUUUGCCCAUGUUCUUAUCUGCUGUUGGGGCCAUCUGUGGACACGACAGCUGGAGCACCAAAAAGUGAGUUUGUUUUCCAGACAAGCCUUCAGAAGAAGCAGUCCCUGGAGUUUGCAUCCAUCAGUAAAAGGCUCCAGAAGGAAGGAAGGAAUCAGGCCUAAAGCAUGUAGUUCUCACAGCACAUUUGGAUGCACCCUUGUGCUCUGCUCCAGUAUCCUGUGCUCCCCACACUGUUCCCUGAGGAAUUCCACAUUAACAACAUGAAGCGUCAUUUCUGUUCUUGGGAAUGGGAUUAGGAGAAAGCCACAGCUAAGACAAUGCAACACCUGGUUAAUUUAAGACACGGCAGGAGAACUCCUGCUCCCAGCAUACAAAAAGACAGCCCACAUGGCUCCUCAUCCCCUGCUUUUCACCCAGGUCCUUGUUGGGGAAGAUCCAACUUUUGUGCUGCCAGUACUGAGAGGCAGGAGCCGACAGUCGCAUUCAUCUCCCAGCUGCAUCACUCCUCUCCUUUCAGUGCAUCACAGCUGGGGAAGGAAAUGUCCUCCCCCUCUUUCCUUCCCUCCCUCCCACCCCCUUUACAAAUUAUGUUCUUGUACCACCUUGCUCUCUCCUCCUUUUAACAAAAGUGAUGAAAGUGUAACUCCAACUACUUACAUUAAUAUGUUCUAUUUGCAAGGCCAUAAAUC